rnacentral:rRNA from 1 species
CAGCAGCCACGGUAAUACGGAGGGUGCAAGCGUUAAUCGGAAUUACUGGGCGUAAAGCGUGCGUAGGCGGUUCGUUAAGUCUGUUGUGAAAGCCCCGGGCUCAACCUGGGAAUGGCAAUGGAUACUGGCGAGCUAGAGUGUGUCAGAGGAUGGUGGAAUUCCCGGCGUAGCGGUGAAAUGCGUAGAGAUCGGGAGGAACAUCGGUGGCGAAGGCGGCCAUCUGGGACAACACUGACGCUGAGGCACGAAAGCGUGGGGAGCAAACAGGAUUAGAUACCCCGGUAGUCCCUGUCUCUUAUAC